rnacentral:rRNA from 1 species
GCUCAACCGGGGAAGUGCAUUGGAAACUGGGGAACUUGAGUGCAGAAGAGGAGAGUGGAACUCCACGUGUAGCGGUGAAAUGCGUAGAUAUGUGGAAGAACACCAGUGGCGAAGGCGACUGUCUGGUCUGUAACUGACGCUGAGGAUCGAAAGCGUGGGGAGCGAACAGGAUUAGAUACCCUGGUAGUCCAUGCCGUAAACGAUGAGUGCUAAGUGUUGGGGGGUUUCCGCCCCUUAGUGCUGCAGCUAACGCAUUAAGCACUCCGCCUGGGGAGUACGACCGCAAGGCUGAAACUCAAAGGAAUUGACGGGGGCCCGCACAAGCGGUGGAGCAUGUGGUUUAAUUCGAAGCUACGCGAAGAACCUUACCAGGUCUUGACAUCCUCUGACAAUCCUAGAGAUAAGACGUUCCCUUCGGGGACAGAAUGACAGGUGGUGCAUGGUUGUCGUCAGCUCGUGUCGUGAGAUGUUGGGUUAAGUCCCGCAACGAGCGCAACCCUUGUUAUCAGUUGCCAGCAUUCAGUUGGGCACUCUGGUGAGACUGCCGGUGACAAACCGGAGGAAGGUGGGGAUGACGUCAAAUCAUCAUGCCCCUUAUGACCUGGGCUACACACGUGCUACAAUGGACAGUACAAAG